rnacentral:miRNA from 1 species
UUUGCGAUUGUUUCCAGGCCAGC